rnacentral:ncRNA from 1 species
CCGAUUGUUUCGUCAAUCGUACCCUACCAGUGCAUGCCGGAUUGGUAACGAUCUGGUGUAAAGCCACCGGAAUAACGUAACCCGUUCCUGGAACGACGGUUCGCCCGCGAGAGGGUGUCGUUGUCUGCCAGCGUCGAGGCGGAUGAGGUG